CAAAAAGAACUACUUCAGUAACUCUCCAUGGGAUAUAGAGGAGAAAGGCACUGGAGGCUUCGGUGCCAGCAGUUUAAAGACUGACUGGAGAGAGGGCGGAGGUGGAGCAAGAUGGCUGAAUAGAACCCCCCCCGAGAUAGUUCUCCACACAGGAACACCAAAUAGAACAACUAUCCACGCAAGACAGCACCUUCAUAAAAGCCAUAAAAUCAGGGCAGUCAGGACACAAGGACUAAAGGCUGGAGCAAGACUGGCUGAAAUGACCACCAGGCAGAUGGCAGAUUGGGAAGACA
rnacentral:lncRNA from 10 species